rnacentral:sRNA from 1 species
CAUAGCAGAUUUGGGGACAGAUAAAGUGCACAUGAGCAUCGAUUGCGCCUGCCGUGAAGAUCUUGCCUUCGCCAGCCAAUACCUCCGUCGCCGCCCCCACCGUCAUACCAGGAGUCACUCCGUCCAUCACAUCAGGGUUCCCCGCCUUGCCAAGUCCAACGAUAAUGCCAUUUUUGAUACCAAUAUCUGCCUUGAAGAUUCCAGUGUAGUCCACAAUAAGCGCAUUUGUAACGACCAGAUCCAGCGAAUGAUCCUUGUGUACGUUGGUAGCUUGUCCCAUUCCUUCUCGAAG